UUCUCAAAGAAAAAAAUGAUGAAAUCCAAGAGAGAGAGAAAGCCGGCAGGAAAAAGGAGGGAGAACCCAGUCGUGAUGAAGGCCUUCUACAUCGCUGCUGCUGUCGCCCACGACUCCAUGGAAGGCUGAUCUCUUCACUAGGGCUGGAUGCAACCCUAACAAAGGGCCAAGGGUUUUAUGUUUUUAAUUUUCUAUUCCUGGAGUUGUAUAAACUUUAUUUUGCUCCUA
rnacentral:lncRNA from 1 species